UGUAGUGCGAGGAAUGGCCAUUUGGGGGUGGUCUCCAGCAAUGGAUUUGAUGAGAUUAGUUGGAUCCCAAAUAUCAGAGCUGCGACUGGACAUCGUUGUCUCACUGAUUCCAUAUAAGAUGGAGUUGGCAGAUCGAAACCCAUUUUUUUCUGGCAUUGCUUCCUGAUAGGCCGUGGGGGUGAAGAGUAUGAUCGCUCGGUCAAUGUGGUUUGCCAUGGUAAAUAUAAUUUAUA